rnacentral:rRNA from 1 species
CCAAUAGCGUAUAUUAAAGUUGUUGCAGUUAAAAAGCUCGUAGUUGAAUUUCGGGAUCGACGGGUCGGUCGCGCCUCUGGUGUGUACUGGCCCUGUCGGUUUCUCCCUUCUGACGAACCACGAUGUCAUUAAUUUGGUGUCGUGGGAAAUCAGGACUGUUACUUUGAAAAAAUUAGAGUGUUUAAAGCAGGCAUUCGCUUGAAUACAUUAGCAUGGAAUAAUGAAAUAGGACGUUUGAUCUUAUUUUGUUGGUUUCUAAGAUCGACGUAAUGAUUAAUAGGGAUAGUUGGGGGCAUUAGUAUUCAAUUGUCAGAGGUGAAAUUCUUGGAUUUAUUGAAGACUAACUACUGCGAAAGCAUUUGCCAAGGAUGUUUUCAUUAAUCAAGAACGAAAGUUAGGGGAUCGAAGACGAUCAGAUACCGUCGUAGUCUUAACCAUAAACUAUGCCGACUAGGGAUCGGAUGAUGUUAACUUUUUAAUGACUCAUUCGGCGCCUUACG